rnacentral:lncRNA from 10 species
GUGGCUCACUCCUGUAAUCCCAGCACUUUGGGAGGCCGAGGCAGGCGGAUCACCUGAGGUCAGGAGUUUGAGACCAGCCUGACCAACAUGGCGAAACCUGUCUCUACUUAAAAAAAUACAAAAAUUAGCUGGACAUGGUGGUGGGCACCUGUAAUCCCAGCAACUCAGGAGGCUGAGGUGGGAGAAUUGCUUGAACCCGGGAGGUGGAGGUUGUAGUGAGCCAAGUGCUUUGUUAUUGUCCAGGAAAUUAUUCAUCUGCAUUUUGUUUUUAGAGAAAGAUAAAUUGAGUGAUCUAUCAGUACAGACAGGCAUUUGAGACCCCCUCCUCUACCCUUAUUAAUUAAGCAGUUUCUCAUUUAGUCUGCUUUAUAUGGUGGGGUUCUAUGCAAUAUUUCUUUCUUUAAAAAGAAAAAAAGUGUUUGCUGCUAGAAUCAUGAGUCUAGUCCCAAACUCUUACUGUCCUGAACACAGAUGGAGGCCUGUGGGACACGUUUUCAUUCUUACAUUCUUCGUUUGCAGCAGUGAGAGGUGAUUUGUAUAUAAAAAUGAAAGUGAAAAGGCAUUUGGCAUUCUUGGGAUGUUUUUGAGCAUUUAGCUAAUUUUUUAUGUAGGAUUUUUAUUUUGUUCCUUUUUUUUUAAGCUCAUUGACUCACCAGUGAAAUAUCUAGUGAAAUAGUUUUGCUCAUUUAUGGAUGAGGGUGCUAAGGGAUUUACAUCCAUUGAUGUCAUUCCCAUAGCUACUUGGUGAGGGGGAGUACUGUUGAAAGUUCAUUUUGCAAGUGAAGAAACUUGAGCUCCGAGAGGUUAGGUAAUUUGCUCAGGGGCAAGCAGAUAAGUAAUCAGGAAGUCAUCAUUAGAUGCGACCUGCCCUGAUUCCACAGCCCACACCCUUCAGUUCAUGCUAAGGCCUUCCCAGGACAAGCGUACCCAGCCACCUGUUGGGGGUGGAAGGGCCCAGGAAGAAGAAGGGUGUUGGAUUUCUGGUCAGUCUUGGCUUUGGGCUGGUGCCUGUAGAAGGGGCAGAGCUGAGAGACGGACUGAGUCACUUCUAGCAAAAUUGGUUGAGAAUCGUGGGACGGGUGAUGCGUGCUUGCUGUGCGGGGAUUGAAGGCUCAUGGAAAACCCCAUGUAGAGUUAUCAUCUUCUCUCUCCAGGGAUGUGAGCAAGGCCAAGGUUAUUGGCCGAGUACCUGUUUCAUUUCACCUGUGCACCGACUCCCUCCAGAAAGGCGCCAUCUGCUUUCUUGCUGCUCACUGCCACCACAGUCACCACUACCACUGUUUUGCCUUUCUAAUCCAGUGCCUCGCCAGUGGGGUGGAGGGAUGGAACUGUGUAUAGUUCCAGUAUUACAAUAUAGUUUUUUAUAUUGUACAAGUUUUAGUUUAUUAGUGGAACCCGGGCACAUGAAAGUCCCUGGUUAGAGAGUUGCUUUGCAGCGUCUUCUCCCUUUGUGGCUAGUAAUGAUCUGCGGGGAUGGGAGGAGCAUUGAGAACCUAUUGGCCAUGAAGAGUCACUUCCUCCCGACACAGAUCUCUGCUUGUGCAGCGCCCCCACACUUCCUGCGUAAUGCAGUGCCCUCAGAGAUCCCCCAGCAGCUGCCACCCCGGCAACAUUAUCUAUAUUUGCAGGGAUACUUAAGGACCCUUUGGCAAUUGGCAGUGAUAUUUUGAGAGCCUUUGAGGAACGUGACUGAACAUGAAUUUUAAAAAAGUAUAAAGGUGGCACUAGGUGUAUUCAGAGGGACAAGCUGGUGGCAACUUAGGGGGACUUUGCCUUUAUAAAAGGAGACCCACACAUGGAGUUUACGUAAGAAGAACUUACAGUGAGGGAGAGAUGACUGUAUCAGCCAAUACAGAUGAAGAAUGCUCCAGGAGCUUGCGGGGUUUGCCCACAGUGCCACAGACUAGACUCAGUAGAGCCAGGACUGGCUCUAAUCUGGUACUUUCUCUGCCUGCCAUGCUUGGCCCUGUACCCCUCAGUGGCAGCACUGUUUCCCAUUAGAGAAAACAAACCUGUUAGUUUUCUCAUUGCUUAUGUAGAGGGUAACCUUCCUGUGUCCCCUCAUUCUUGCUUUAGCCUACAUUCAGGGGGGUUUUGACUGCACACCAGGUGGGAGCAGUAUUGGGGCACAUUCUUCUGGUCCUGUCUCCACCCUCUCAUUUCUUCCUUUCCAUAGGAGUGAUUUAUCUGAUUGGUACACCAGGGAGAGCCUCACUCCAUUGGUCCACAUCUACCCAGUGUGAGGUCACUGCAUCAGAACACUGCCUGGCUUUGUGCUUGAACUCUCUCCCCUGCUUACCCUUAAGAGAAGCCUGUCCUUAGCUGUGUCCUACCUUCCUUUUGUGGCUAGCACCAUUCUUUGUCCCUAGGUCUGGAGGCGGGUGGCAAGGCCAACUAGAAAUGGGAAGGGCGAGGCAUUGCAGCUUUGCCAUUGACAAAGAGGAUGGUAGACUUUGGUUUGCUCUUGGUUUCUUGAGACUU